rnacentral:rRNA from 1 species
UACGAAGGGUGCGAACGUUAUUCGGAAUCACUGGGCGUAAAGAGUGCGUAGGCGGUAUGUUAAGUUUGUCGUUAAAGACUCUAGCCUAACUGGAGGAAUGCGAUGAAAACUGGCGUGCUAGAGGAUGAGAGAGAGAAGUGGAAUUCCUGGAGUAGCGGUAAAAUGCGUGGAUCUCAGGAGGAACACCAAUGGCGAAGGCAGCUUCUUGGCUCAUAUCUGACGCUGAGGCACGAAAGCGUGGGGAGCAAACAGG